rnacentral:rRNA from 1 species
CAGUAGCCGCGGGAAUACGUAGGGUGCGAGCGUUGUCCGGAAUUAUUGGGCGUAAAGAGCUUGUAGGUGGUUUGUCGCGUCUGCUGUGAAAAUCCGAGGCUCAACCUCGGACUUGCAGUGGGUACGGGCAGACUAGAGUGUGGUAGGGGAGACUGGAAUUCCUGGUGUAGCGGUGGAAUGCGCAGAUAUCAGGAGGAACACCGAUGGCGAAGGCAGGUCUCUGGGCCAUUACUGGCACUGAGAAGCGAAAGCAUGGGGAGCGAACAGGAUUAGAUACCCCCGUAGUCCCUGUCUCUUAUAC